rnacentral:rRNA from 1 species
GAUGAACGCUGGCGGCGUGCCUAAUACAUGCAAGUCGAGCGAACGGACGCGAAGCUUGCUUCUCUGAUGUUAGCGGAGGACGGGUGAGUAACACGUGGAUAACCUACCUAUAAGACUGGGAUAACUUCGGGAAACCGGAGAUAAUACCGGAUAAUAUUUUGAACCGCAUGGUUCAAAAGUGAAAGACGGUGUUGCUGUCACUUAUAGAUGGAUCCGCGCUGCAUUAGCUGGUUGGUAAGGUAACGGCUUACCAAGGGAACGAGGCAUAGCCGAGCUGAGAGGGGGAUAGGCCACACUGGAGCUGGGACACGGUCCAGGCGCCUACGGGAGGCAGCAGUAGGGAAUCUUCCGCAAUGGGCGAAAGCCUGACGGAGCAACGCCGCGUGAGUGAUGAAGGUCUUCGGUUCGUAAAACUCUGUUAUUAGGUAAGAACAGAUGUGUAAGGAACUGUGCACAUCGUGACGGUACCUAAUCAGAAAGCCCCGGCUAACUACGUG